rnacentral:lncRNA from 1 species
GGCGCACACGUUUUCUGAAAUGCGUCACUGCUUGUUCUGAAUACACACACAAAAUAAAAAAACAAGAGAAGAAGCAGAAGGCUACCACAAGAAACUCUGUUUACGUGAGAGGCAUAGACGGAAAGCGCGACGCUUAUGUCACGGAUCAUUGAAAUCGUGCGGCAAUCCCGAGCCACUUUUCCUUGGUCGAACGAGAUGGGAUGGUCAUUACGGAAACUAUCAGGGUAGGCAGUAACAAUGGGCGCAUGUCCAAGCCGUGCGCCGUUCCAAACGUAUAAGAAGACUGGCAACUCCACACAAAGGAGAAAACAGUUUCACCCACAGCGAUUGUAAGAAGUCACUGCCGACAGUGUCAUGAAGAUUUUCUUAGUGAUAACUAUGUUCCUGGCUGGUCUACUUCUUGCCCACGCACAAAGUAGACCACGCAGUCGAUACGAUCGCGGAGGAGGCUAUUUAUUCCCUCGAAGAGAUGUAGUCUCUGCUGCUGCAAGCUUUGGAUUUCCCGGACGCAGCGGAUACAACCGUUGACUGCGCAAUCGGCUACAUAGAAGCAUGCAGCGUCACCCUGCUUGGUAACUUCAGGAUGCACCUCAGCGUAUCGAAAAGAAUCAAUAAACGAUGAUACAGGUAGA